UCUCAGCUGGCUCAGUGGUAAAGAAUUUACCUGCCAAGCAGGAGACACGGGUUUGAUCCCUGGGUUGAGAA
rnacentral:tRNA from 1 species